rnacentral:rRNA from 1 species
AUUGAACGCUGGCGGCAGGCCUAACACAUGCAAGUCGAAUGGUAACAGGAAACAGCUUGCUGUUUCGCUGACGAGUGGCGGACGGGUGAGUAAUGUCUGGGAAACUGCCUGAUGGAGGGGGAUAACUACUGGAAACGGUGGCUAAUACCGCAUAACGUCGCAAGACCAAAGAGGGGGACCUUCGGGCCUCUUGCCAUCAGAUGUGCCCAGAUGGGAUUAGCUAGUAGGUGGGGUAACGGCUCACCUAGGCGACGAUCCCUAGCUGGUCUGAGAGGAUGACCAGCCACACUGGAACUGAGACACGGUCCAGACUCCUACGGGAGGCAGCAGUGGGGAAUAUUGCACAAUGGGCGCAAGCCUGAUGCAGCCAUGCCGCGUGUAUGAAGAAGGCCUUCGGGUUGUAAAGUACUUUCAGCGGGGAGGAAGGGAGUAAAGUUAAUACCUUUGCUCAUUGACGUUACCCGCAGAAGAAGCACCGGCUAACUCCGUG